rnacentral:other from 1 species
GAUUGCCUGCGGUGAACGAGUAUCAUUAAAGGACUCUCGGCCCUUAAUUACAUACUUUGGGAUCAACGUCUGUGUUGGUUUUGUGCACUACCUAAUAGGGAAGCCUGCGCCAAUACGUCUGAACCCACCUAUUUGCUCUGGCCUGAGAGCAACAAAUGAGAACCGUCAUUGUGGGUUAUCU